rnacentral:rRNA from 1 species
GGUUAAUAAUGUUUCGGAAUCUACCCAUGGGUGGGGAAUAACCAGCCGAAAGGUUGGCUAAUACCGCAUAAGUCCUACGGGGGAAAGCGGGGGAUCGCAAGACUCGCGCCGAUGGAUGAGCCGAAGCCGGAUUAGCUAGUUGGUAGGGUAACGGCCUACCAAGGCGACGAUCCGUAGCUGGUCUGAGAGGACGACCAGCCACACUGGGACUGAGACACGGCCCAGACUCCUACGGGAGGCAGCAGUGGGGAAUAUUGGACAAUGGGGGAAACCCUGAUCCAGCGACGCCGCGUGUGUGAAGAAGGCCUGCGGGUUGUAAAGCACUUUUAGUGGGGAUGAAAAGCUCAGGGCUAAUACCUCUGAGUCUUGACCUAACCCAAAGAAAAAGCACCGGCUAACUCUGUGCCAGCCGCCGCGG